UUGACAAAAAUAAGGGUUUGGAAAAUAACAUAUGUACAUACUAACCCCUCCGUAAAAAUAGUUAGAAAACUCAAUUACAUACACGUACUAUACUCGUACUGAAAACAGGCAUGCAUAAUUAUAUUUACAUAGUAAUUCACACAUUUACAAAAUUCCCACAUUAGUUCAAACUUUGAAAAUAAAGAUUUCCCCACCACCUAGGUGUACCCUUAUUAUAUACGUCAAUU
rnacentral:lncRNA from 1 species